rnacentral:rRNA from 1 species
AUUGAACGCUGGCGGCAGGCCUAACACAUGCAAGUCGAGCGGAUGCAGGGAGCUUGCUCCUGGAUUCAGCGGCGGACGGGUGAGUAAUGCCUAGGAAUCUGCCUGGUAGCGGGGGAUAACGUCCGGAAACGGGCGCUAAUACCGCAUACGUCCUGUUGGCGCCAGUGGGUGAUCUUCGGAUCUCACGCUAUCAGAUGAGCCUAGGUCGGAUUAGCUAGUUGGUGGGGUAAAGGCCUACCAAGGCGACGAUCCGUAACUUGUCUGAGAGGAUGAUCAGUCACACUGGAACUGAGACACGGUCCAGACUCCUACGGGAGGCAACAGUGGGGAAUAUUGGACGAAGGGCGAAAGCCUGAUACAGCCAUGCCGCGUGUGUGAAGAAGGUCUUCGGAGUGUAAAGCACUUUAAGUGGGGAGGAAGGGCAGUAAGUUAAUACCUUGCUGUUUUGACGUUACCAACAGAAUAAGCACCGGCUAACUUCGUG